rnacentral:misc_RNA from 1 species
GAACGCACAUUGCGCCCUUUGGCUAUUCCGAAGGGCAUGCCUGUUUGAGUAUCAUGAACACCUCAACUCUCAUGGUCCACCAUGAUGAGCUUGGACUUUGGGGGUCUUGCUGGCCUAUCACCGGCUCCUCUCAAACGAAUCAGCUUGCCAGUGUUUGGUGGCAUCACAGGUGUGAUAACUAUCUACGCUUGUGUUUUCCCACCAGGUAACCUCCAGCAAUGGGGGUUCACUGGGGCUCACAAAUGUCUCUCCUCAGUGGAGAUGGCUCUUUUGAAUGUUUGAUCUCAAAUCAGGUAGGACUACCCGCUGAACUUAAG